AGCGAACGCUGGCGGCAGGCCUAACACAUGCAAGUCGAACGAAGUCUUCGGACUUAGUGGCGGACGGGUGAGUAACACGUGGGAACGUGCCUUUAGGUCCGGAAUAACUCAGGGAAACUUGUGCUAAUACCGAAUGUGCCCUUCGGGGGAAAGAUUUAUCGCCUUUAGAGCGGCCCGCGUCUGAUUAGCUAGUUGCUGAGGUAAAGGCUCACCAAGGCUACGAUCAGUAGCUGGUCUGAGAGGAUGACCAGCCACAUUGGGACUGAGACACGGCCCAAACUCCUACGGGAGGCAGCAGUGGGGAAUCUGGCGCAAUGGGCGAAAGCCUGACGCAGCCAUGCCGCGUGGAUGAUGAAGGUCUUAGGAUUGUAAAAUCCUUUCACCGGUGAAGAUAAUGACUGUAGCCGGAGAAGAAGCCCCGGCUAACUUCGUGCCAGCAGCCGCGGUAAAAC
rnacentral:rRNA from 1 species